GCUCCUGGGGAUGGGGGAGUUGCCCCAAUCCAGGAGAUGGGGGCGCUCCUGGGGAUGCGGUGUGUUCCAACCCAGGAGGAAGGGGCGCUCCUAGGAACGGGGGGAUGCUCCAACCCGGGAAGAGGGGCGCUCCUGGGGAUGGUAUAUGAAGACGCCUAUCCCAUUCCCAUUUGAAUCUCUUCCCUUCUAGACUGAACAUUGCUGGUUUCUUCUCCCAAGGCUCGUGGGCUGGAUCUUGGAUAUGCUCCAGCUCAGCCAGUGCACCUCGGGAACCUCAGAGCUGCAACCCCGCCCCGCCCCCACCAUGUCCCCUGGGUCUCCUUACCCCCUGGAUCGCCUCUCUCCUUGGCAGUGGCGUCUGGACUGGUCUUUUGGAUAAUGCCAAGCCACAAUGGGACAAGAAUAUUAUCCCCUUGUUUAGGUCAGGUGAUUUAACUUCCUGAGCAGCGUUUGUGAAUGUGCCUGUUUCCGAGUUUGCACCUGGUGGGGGAAGGGGCCAGGUGUUUGGCGAGAGGAUGGGGUACCCUGGUCUUAAAAAGGAAUCAGCAUCUUUGGCUAAUUGUAUGGUAUCCGAACAAUCCCAAUGAAAAUUAAAAAAAAAAAAAAAAAUGGAAUCAGCACCGGCUGCGGCACAAGUGCAUCUUCCUCGCCCUUGUCUCUGUCUCCUCUGCGUUGGCCGCAGGAGCUGCAGGGAGGAUGCCGUGGAGACCCCAGGAGGUGGGAGAUGGCCCAACUCUGCAAAUAAACUCAUCACCCUCCCCCUGACGUGGGACAGGACCCCGAAGAUGAAUGAGCCUUCCUGGCACCGUGGGUCAUGGAUCCUGGGAAUGAGCCUGAUCCUGGCAUCAAGGGAUUGAGAAUGACUUUUUGACCAAAAGGGGGAAAAGAAAGGCAACAAAAUAAGAUUUUAGUGGCUAAGAGAAUUCAAAUUGAGGCAGGAGUCUGUCCUGGAAUUUACUCUUAUGCAAGCCUCACCUAGAUAUGCCAGAUGACCACAGUGUGAUAAUCCCAAGUCAACAGUAGUCCCAAAAAUCUUAAAGAAUACCCGGAUCCCUAUCUGAGACUCUAUAAAAGUUUCACUCACUGAGUUUACUCUUCAGAAACUUAAAUCCUCCAGAGUGCUCCUAUGCCAGCUAAGUCCCAAAACCCAGAGGCAACAGCCUGUUCAUAAACAUCACCUAGAUGUAUCCCCUUUGCUCAUAAAGUUGACACCCCUUUUCAACAUGAACAGGUUAGUGUGGUCACUGCUUAGACAUCCCUGAAAACUGGGAAAGUGAUUAAAUAGGAGGAAGAGGUAGCAACAGA